rnacentral:rRNA from 1 species
ACUCCUACGGGAGGCAGCAGUGGGGAAUUUUGGACAAUGGGCGAAAGCCUGAUCCAGCCAUGCCGCGUGCAGGAUGAAGGCCUUCGGGUUGUAAACUGCUUUUGUACGGAACGAAACGGCCUUUUCUAAUAAAGAGGGCUAAUGACGGUACCGUAAGAAUAAGCACCGGCUAACUACGUGCCAGCAGCCGCGGUAAUACGUAGGGUGCAAGCGUUAAUCGGAAUUACUGGGCGUAAAGCGUGCGCAGGCGGUUAUGUAAGACAGUUGUGAAAUCCCCGGGCUCAACCUGGGAACUGCAUCUGUGACUGCAUAGCUAGAGUACGGUAGAGGGGGAUGGAAUUCCGCGUGUAGCAGUGAAAUGCGUAGAUAUGCGGAGGAACACCGAUGGCGAAGGCAAUCCCCUGGACCUGUACUGACGCUCAUGCACGAAAGCGUGGGGAGCAAACAGGAUUAGAAACCCUAGUAGUCCCAUGAU